rnacentral:rRNA from 1 species
CCUACGGGAGGCAGCAGUGGGGAAUAUUGCACAAUGGGGGAAACCCUGAUGCAGCGACGCCGCGUGAGUGAAGAAGUAUUUCGUUAUGUAAAGCUCUAUCAGCAGGGAAGAAAAUGACGGUACCUGAGUAAGAAGCCCCGGCUAACUACGUGCCAGCAGCCGCGGUAAUACGUAGGGGGCAAGCGUUAUCCGGAUUUACUGGGUGUGAAGGGAGCGUAGGCGGCAGUGCAAGUCUGGAGUGAAAGGGGGGGGCUCAACCCCCGGACUGCUCUGGAAACUGUACGGCUGGAGUGCAGGAGAGGUAAGUGGAAUGCCUGGUGUAGCGGUGAAAUGCGUAGAUAUUAGGAGGAACACCAGUGGCGAAGGCGGCUUACUGGACUGUAACUGACGCUGAGGAGCGAAAGCGUGGGUAGCAAACAGGAUUAGAUACCCUUGUAGUC